CCAACAAGAAUGUAGUCUAUUUUUCCAUCCUCUGACUUGUUUUGCUGUGAUGUCAUGUCAAGUAAAGCCUGGGCCCCAAGAGGAGAUGCAAGCUUCUUCUGUCACUCUUGGACCUCAGUUUCCAUGGCAACGGGUCUAGUUUUUGUUGUUAUUGUUGGAGGAUCUUUCAUGGAGGAGAAUCCUGGUGCCCAGCCAUUCUGGGAGUUGAACAAAUUCACCACAUUACAGCUUGGAAGAUAUAUGAUAAGCUGAAAUCAUGGUGCAGUCUUCAGUGGGUCCUUUUUACUGGAUUCUAGUCUUAAAGGCGUGACUGGAAUGGCUCCUGAAAAAGCUUGGGACAGACUGACAUGAUGGAUGAAAGAGGUCAUGAAAGAAACCUUGAACCAAGCAAGUGAUGUGGCAAAGCUGCAUCUUAUUCCCACUUCUGUCCUCUGGAGGGCUCUGACCCAGGGAUGGUUCAGCCAACACUGAUGCUGCUCACGAGGAAAGACAGGUCUGGAGAACUGAAGUGACCAUGUAAACUUCUAUCUCUUAACAACAGUGCUUUCCACAACUCCACGUUGUCAAAUCAGCAACGCAGAGGAUAACUUUUUCUAACAGAAAAGCAUCUGCUCAAAGGCUUUGAGAAAAUUGAAAAUAGAGUAAUUGAUUUGGCAACAGUAACAGAGUAAUUGUAUCAGUUAAGGCUC